GAUGAACGCUGGCGGCGUGCCUAAUACAUGCAAGUCGAACGAAACUUCUUUAUCACCGAGUGCUUGCACUCACCGAUAAAGAGUUGAGUGGCGAACGGGUGAGUAACACGUGGGCAACCUGCCCAAAAGAGGGGGAUAACACUUGGAAACAGGUGCUAAUACCGCAUAACCAUAGUUACCGCAUGGUAACUAUGUAAAAGGUGGCUAUACUACCGCUUUUGGAUGGGCCCGCGGCGCAUUAGCUAGUUGGUAGGGGAAAGGCUUACCAAGGCAAUGAUGCGUAGCCGAAUUGAGAGGUUGAUCGGCCACAUUGGGACUGAGACACGGCCCAAACUCCUACGGGAGGCAGCAGUAGGGAAUCUUCCACAAUGGGCGAAAGCCUGAUGGAGCAACGCCGCGUGGGUGAAGAAGGUCUUCGGAUCGUAAAACCCUGUUGUUAGAGAAGAAAGUGCGUGAGAGUAACUGUUCACGUUUCGACGGUAUCUAACCAGAAAGCCACGGCUAACUACGUG
rnacentral:rRNA from 1 species